rnacentral:rRNA from 1 species
AUUGAACGCUGGCGGCAUGCUUUACACAUGCAAGUCGAACGGCAGCACGGGUGCUUGCACCUGGUGGCGAGUGGCGAACGGGUGAGUAAUAUAUCGGAACGUACCCGGAAAUGGGGGAUAACGUAGCGAAAGUUACGCUAAUACCGCAUAUGCCCUGAGGGGGAAAGCGGGGGAUUCGUAAGAACCUCGCGUUUUCGGAGCGGCCGAUAUCGGAUUAGCUAGUAGGUGAGGUAAAGGCUCACCUAGGCGACGAUCCGUAGCUGGUCUGAGAGGACGACCAGCCACACUGGAACUGAGACACGGUCCAGACUCCUACGGGAGGCAGCAGUGGGGAAUAUUGCGCAAUGGGCGAAAGCCUGACGCAGCCACGCCGCGUGAGUGAUGAAGGCC